rnacentral:rRNA from 1 species
UCCGUUGCGGGCAGCUACACAUGCAAGUCGAGCGGCAGCGGGGAGUAGCUUGCUACUUUGCCGGCGAGCGGCGGACGGGUGAGUAAUGCUUGGGAACUUGCCUUUAGGAGGGGGAUAACCACGGGAAACUGUGGCUAAUACCGCAUAAUGUCUACGGACCAAAGCAGGGGCUCUUCGGACCUUGCACCUAGAGAUAGGCCCAAGUGAGAUUAGCUAGUUGGUGGGGUAAAGGCCCACCAAGGCGACGAUCUCUAGCUGUUCUGAGAGGAUGAUCAGCCACACUGGGACUGAGACACGGCCCAGACUCCUACGGGAGGCAGCAGUGGGGAAUAUUGCACAAUGGGGGAAACCCUGAUGCAGCCAUGCCGCGUGUGUGAAGAAGGCCUUCGGGUUGUAAAGCACUUUCAGUGGUGAGGAAGGAUGUAAGAUUAAUACUCUUGCAUAUUGACGUUAGCCACAGAAGAAGCACCGGCUAACUCCGUGCCAGCAGCCGCGGUAAU